UGAUGCGAAGUAUCAUCAGUUAGUAAUAUUUAUACACACAUCUUCAUUGUAGUCAUAUGAUGAUGAAAUCAGUACGUAAAUCAGUACAAACAAAAAUUCUGCAUCCCACAGAACAACACUAUUAUGCAGGACUCAUUUUAAAAGGCCCUCAGUUCUAAUUUCUACAAGAGAUGUGAAGUCAUCAUCUAAGAUUAUAAUGUCGGAGCUUCCUUUAGCAACUUAUGUCCCUGACAUGCACAUUGCAAGACCUAUAUUAGCCUAUACAACAGAUCAAGCAUUAGAUAUAAGAACAAAACAAAAUCUUCUGCAAUAUCAAGAUAAAUAUAUUAGAUAUGUAUAGACAAGGCAUGGUCUGACCUUCUCUGAAACUCAGUUAUAUUAGCUAUACAAUGGAGUACCAAGCCAAAUAUCAGGAUACAAUUAUGCUUAUAUCAAAUAUCCACAAAAUGAACAAUAUGAAAACACAUUCCUGGCAUGUAUUAUGGGAGUGUCUAAUCAACAGACAUCUGUUUUUUUAUUUCGGUUCAGGCCGGAUUUUUGUCCAUUGUCUGGUCGACUCAUGUACAUACUUGUUUUCGCUUCAUACAGUAGUUUUGGAAAAAAAUCAUCUAAUUUCAUUUGGAGCUCAGGUUGGAUUAACUUUUUGCUCACAGUUUCCAGUGUCCCGCCCGGCCUAGAUUGCAACCCGCCCCUCCCCAAACAAAAAAGAAGUGUGAAUGAGCAAGGCAGGCGGAGGGGUGCCCUGUCGCUUACAUUGCCAAUGCCCCUGGGAAAUCUACCAAGGUACCUCCCUCUUCCCUGACUCUUUUAUGACUCUACAUCCACGUGUGGCCAUUUUUUGAAUGAUAUCUAGUCUAGAACAUAACUGAACUGAACUCCAUUAAAACUGAAUUUUAGUACAACACCUAUGAAGUCCUACAAACCACCGCACACAUUACAUAUAUAUGGUUUAAGCUUUAACAUAAGAGCCCGACUGAAAAGUUACAAACAGCAACAGCAAGCUGGCUAUCUAGUCCAGAACAUUCUUCGGCAAAAGGGAACUACACAAUUUAGUCAACAAACUAAGUUUAGAGGUGCAAAUGCAUGAUGGGAGCGCACGUAAUCCUUUUUGGUAGUCUCAGCGUGCUUUACCUAGCCUGACAACUAAAUUUCGAAUCAUGGCAUGAUGGCAAGCAAGGAAAAGGUGGCAAUUCAUCACCAGUGGCAAAAUUCUCCAUAGCCAGCUAGCUUUUAUAGCUUCAUGCCAAUAUUGGCCAACUCCUUUAACAUGCAGUAGAAACGAACGAUUUAAUUUACAUCAUACAGUAAAAUCUGCAUUCGAGUUGAAAGUAGCACAGACCCUCAUGUAAGGAGCAGAAUAAAUUUACAGAGAACAAUCAGGUGCUUUGUAUCUAAAACCAGGACCAGCCUCUAAAAGCUCUAUAUGGUGUUGUCCUCAAGAAAUAGAAAAGCGAGUUAUAUACAGGGAACGUGUACCAAAAGCAAGCCAGUUACUUGUUUCAGAUGUGCGACCCUUGCUGAACAUCUAGCCAAAAGAAGUAGAAUAACUGCAUCACUAAAGUUUAAGUAGACUAUCUGAUUUUUUUGGUCAUGCAGACAUGUAAAUAUUAGCAGACAUGUAGACUAAAGUGUCAACUAUAAACCACUGUCCGCAAUUGGAGGCAGCAUAAUCAGUAUAGAAUAAGCAUUUGUAGCUAGAUAAAUUACUUGUUUCAAGAUGAUUGCU
rnacentral:lncRNA from 1 species